GUCCACGCCGUAAACGAUGGAUACUAGCUGUUCGGAGUAAUCUGAGUGGCUAAGCGAAAGUGAUAAGUAUCCCACCUGGGGGAGUACGUUCGCAAGAAUGAAACUCAAAGGAAUUGACGGGGGCCCGCACAAGCGGUGGAGCAUGUGGUUUAAUUCGAUGAUACGCGAGGAACCUUACCAAGGCUUAAAUGUAGAUUGACCGGUUUGGAAACAGACUUUUCGCAAGACAAUUUACAAGGUGCUGCAUGGUUGUCGU
rnacentral:rRNA from 1 species